GAUGAACGCUGGCGGCGUGCCUAACACAUGCAAGUCGAACGAAGCACUUUAGCUUGAUUCUUCGGAUGAAGGCUAUUGUGACUGAGUGGCGGACGGGUGAGUAACGCGUGGGUAACCUGCCUCAUACAGGGGGAUAACAGUUAGAAAUGACUGCUAAUACCGCAUAAGACCACGGAGUCGCAUGGAUCAGGGGGAAAAACUCCGGUUGUAUGAGACGGACCCGCGGCUUAUUAUGUAGUUGGUGGGGUAACGGCCUACCAAGCCGACGAUCAGUAGCCGACCUGAUAGGGUGACCGGCCACAUUGGGACUGAGACACGGCCCAAACUCCUACGAGCGGCAGCAGUGGAGAAUAUUGCACAAUGGGGGAAACCCUGAUGCAGCGACGCCGCGUGAGCGAAGAAGUAUUUCGGUAUGUAAAGCUCUAUCAGCAGGGAAGAAAAUGACGGUACCUGACUAAGAAGCACCGGCUAAAUACGUGCCAGCCGCCGCAGUAA
rnacentral:rRNA from 1 species